UACGUAGGAGGCAAGCGUUGUCCGGAUUUACUGGGCGUAAAGAGCGUGUAGGCGGUAGCUUAAGUCCGCUGUGAAAUCGCCAGGCUCAACCUGGCGGCGUCGGUGGAAACUAAGCAACUUGAGGACGGUAGAGGGGGGUGGAAUUCCCGGUGUAGUGGUGAAAUGCGUAGAGAUCCGGAGGAAGACCGGUGGCGAAGGCGGCCUGCUGGGCAGUUUCUGACACUGAGGCGCGACAGCGUGGGGAGCAAACAGG
rnacentral:rRNA from 1 species